GGCCCAGUGGUCUAGUAGCAUGAUACGCGCUUUGGGUAAACUAGGAUUGCGCGGGGUCCCGGGUUCAAUUCCCGGCUGGGCCC